UACGUAGGGUGCAAGCGUUAAUCGGAAUUACUGGGCGUAAAGCGUGCGCAGGCGGUUCGGAAAGAGAGGUGUGAAAUCCCAGGGCUUAACCUUGGAACUGCACUUCUAACUACCGGGCUAGAGUACGUCAGAGGGGGGUAGAAUUCCACGUGUAGCAGUGAAAUGCGUAGAGAUGUGGAGGAAUACCGAUGGCGAAGGCAGCCUUUUGGGAUGAUACUGACGCUUAUGCACGAAAGCGUGGGGAGCAAACAGG
rnacentral:rRNA from 1 species